AUUUAUUUUAUCAUGUCUACUUUUUGUUUUGAUUACCCCACGUGACACAGUUACUAUCACGUGACACCCGGGAAAGUCAUGUGACUAACGAGGGCUUUGCAGUGACAUUAGCAAUCUGUCGUUAGUACGUUAAUACAAUGUAGAAGUCGUAAGAAACAGUUCACACAUGCUGGACAGUGAGUCCUUACUAUUAUUUAAUUAAACAGCGAAUUCACAGUUGUAAUGCCUUUCUUUUCUUUAUAAAAGUGCUCGCUAGGCAUCGGUUGUACUGUAAUGUUUAACUGCUCUGUCUCAGCAAAUCAAAACUAUGGAGAACCUUUCAAAAUGUAAACAAUCUUGUUUAAACAUCUCCUGGAAUUAACUUGAAACUUUCUGGGGACAGACACAACUGCAAUUCAUGCCGAAUGCUAAAUUGCCCUACUCUGUUUUGUCUGGAUUUUCAGAAUGAACGGCACGCAGCAAAAUGACCUGAAAAGACAAAACCUGUUAGAGAGACUUCUUGAUGCGGUUAAACAGUGCCAAAUCCGCUUUGGUGGCAGGAAGGAGAUUGCCUCAGAUUCUGAUAGCAGAGUCAUAUGCCUGUGUGCCCAGUUUGAAGCGGUUCUUCAACACGGCUUGAGGAAAAGUCGUGGACUAGCCCACACAGCAGCUGCUAUAAAACAAGCUGCUGGACUUAGCAGUAAAACUGAAGCAGAGCUGACGUUCUGGUUUUAUGUGAAGGAGCACCUCAACCGUCAUGAGUUGCAGCGCUUCUACUCUCUAUGGAAUAUCACAUCUGAGCUGGGCCGGGGCCGAGCAUGGCUUCGCUGUGCCCUGAAUGAGCACUCUCUAGAGCGUUAUCUUCACAUGCUGCUGGCUGACCGUGCCCGCCUUAGUUCCUACUAUGAAGAUUGGGCUUUUGUCCUUGAUGAGGAGAGAGCAAGUAUGCUGCCUACAAUGGCUGCAGGGCUCAAUUCCAUCCUGUUUGCCAUCAACAUUGACAACACGGACCUAAACGGGCAGACCCGCAGCGUGUCGUCUGUGUCCCACCUGCUUAAGGAGUCCACACAGGGCAUGAGCAGUCUGUGGAAGGAGUCUGCUCAGGGUGUCAGCACGCUCCUGCGGGAAAUUGGCACUGCUACUGCUGUGGUUCCUGGUUUCAUCCCACGCUCAGACUCCCUUUCAGACCCACUGCCUGUCCUGCCCCGAAGCACUUCUGCAGAUUCUGGUUUGAGGAAGGAGCGCAGACGUAAAAAGAAGAUAACAAACAUCAUCUCCUUUGACGAUGACUUGGACGUGGGUGCGGAAGAUGAGGACGAGGCAGGUGAGGAAGUUGUUAGGAGUCUCAGGAAAAGUGCGGUGGGCCAUGUGAGUUCUGAAGAGGCUCUGGACCCUCCAGACUCCAUCUUUCCCACUCAGAAUGGACUAAUAGAGCCAGGGAUUGUGAGCUGGGGCGAAACGCCCCCACAGAACGGAGUCCUGUCUGAUAACAAGAGCAUUGGUAAUGAAGAGGAGGAAGAGGAUGAUAUUUAUGGAAACAGCAGGCCAGAGCCCCAAGAGGAUCAUGGGAUUGGAGAGCCGAUGGUUGUGGGGAGCUUGUCCAGUGUUUCCACUUGGAGCCCAAGGCAGAUCAUCUCUGACAACAACAAUGACAGCUCACAUAUUCUCAUACCACUGGCCUCUUCUGAGCCCUUCAACAAACAAGCUGGUAGUUUAGUUGAGAAUAUAGAAUUUAAUGGCCAGAAGGAGAGCUCAAGCCCGCCAACUGACCGUGAAAAAACAAGAAGCCAAUUACAGUUUAGCAUGGAGCCCAACUCACCACCACAGAUGGCUCCUGUGUCCAGUGUUCUGCCAACCCCUGGCCUUUCUGAGUCCAUGAGCAUUGCUGAACUACGGCAAGCCAUUGUGGCCAUGAUGAACAGGAAGGAUGAGGUCACGGAGCAGAACACGUCUCUGCGCAGUCUCCUGGACGGGGAGAUGGAGCACUCUGCUGGGCUCAGACAGGAGGUGGAGAGCUUGAAGAAGAAACUGGCUGAGCUAGAGGAGAGACAUGCAGCCAAAGUCCAGGCCCUCAUGAGAGAGAAUGAAGUUCUGAAGGUCCAGCUGAAGAAGUAUGUUGGUGCUGUCCAAAUGCUGAAACGAGAAGGCAGCCAAGGCAAUGAUGCUUUAACCAUUCAGAGGAAUUGUGAUGAUCCACCUCAAGCCCCCCAAAACAGAUCUGUGGCUGAUAUAGAGGAACUGGCUGCCAACUAUGAGCGUAAACUCAUCGAGGUGGCUGAGAUGCAUGGGGAGCUGAUAGAGUUUAACGAGAGGCUGUACCGCUCUCUCAUGGCCAAAGACAACCUGAUUGGACAGAUGAGACAGGAACUCAUUGACUUGCGUGGCCCAGUGCCAGGGGACCUGAGCCAGACCUCUGACGAUCCCAGCCUAUCUGAUUUUGAGACAACUCAACGUGCUCUUGUCAACGUGUGGAUCCCUUCUGUGUAUCUUCAAGGCCGGGCAGCCAACGCCUAUCACGUAUAUCAGGUGUACAUAAGAAUCCUAGACAAUGAGUGGAAUGUUUACCGGCGCUAUGCUGAGUUCAGGGCCCUGCACAAUUACCUGCGCUCGCAAUUCCCACAGGUCGACACCUUCAAUUUCCCGCCUAAAAAAGCCAUCGGCAACAAGGAUGCCAAGUUCGUGGAGGAGAGAAGGAAACAGCUGCAGUCUUACCUGCGCAUUGUGAUGAAUAAACUGAUCCAGACACUGCCUAAAUUCACUUCCCAGCCCACCAAGGAGACCUUACUGCAGUUACUGCCAUUCUGCAAGCACUCAAAGCACUUUACAUAGUAUAGGGGGAAUCUCCUCAACCACCACCAGUGUGGAGGAUCCACCUGGAUGAUGCGACGGCAGCCAUAGUGUGCCAGAAUGCCCACCACACACCAUCUAUUAUUAUUAUUAUUAUUAUUAUUAUUGUUAUUGCUAGCUGUCAAGUUCUGUUGCCAGUGUGAUUUAGUUUAUAAACAAAUUAUGAAUUAACCCUACAGGACCAGUCGCUUCCUGCAUUUUACUUGCUAAUUGUCGUUUCAGAAUGGCUCAUCAAUCUAUCAGCUCACACGCUGCAUCUGAUUGUUUUUGUUUUGUUUUUUGGUGAGUGCUGGGUCUGAUGCAAUUGUGUUAUUAAAAAGCCAAUUUUACCCUUAUUUCAAAUCUGAUUUAAAGAAAACCUUUGGGACAUUGUGAGAAGAUAAUGGCUCUUUGGUUGGCUAUGACUGGAGAGAAUUUGUGUGCUAUGGACAGAUGAGUCCAGCUGGUCUUUAGAUGCCGUGAGAGUUGGACGUGAUGAAUGAAUAGACAAGGAUGUUUGAGAGCAUUACAUUUUGUCACAAAAGCUUUCCAAAUGGGAAAUGACUCACAAAGUACUUUGAGUCCAUUCUCUAUGUGCAAUGAAUUACUUUUGUUGUGUAUUUACAAUGCACCAUUUAUGUGCUAUCUAGGAACCGUGUUACUUCUUGAUAAAUUUAUUUUUGUCUGUUGGAUCAUUUUGCCUCUAUGACUUAUAUGAUUAACAAUGGUUUCUAUUCUCUCUUGUGCUCUGGAAGCAUCUCUCAGACCUGGAGUAGCUGCUGAUUGCCAUUUAAAUACACUGGUGAUUACAUGCCCAUGCCAAUAAAGCCGCCUCCUGGCAAACAGACAGAGUGGAAAGCUGUCACACAGCAGUUAUAGUGAGUGUGCGCUGCCAACGAGGGAAUCCUUUAAUGUUAAAAACAUCCUUGUGUGCCAGUUCUUGGCACCUCCUCUCUGUCAUUGUCAGUUUUGAGUGGGGCCGACGAUGAUCUUUUAGAAGACGUUCUUGUGAGGAGGUUUUGUUGAACAAAAAGUGUUUUCAGACUUUGAGACUUUGCUUUAAAAUGGAAGACACUUGGGCCCGCCACAUCUUGACAGUGUAGGACUGCUUCAAAGAGCUUCCAGCAUAUGUCUGUUCCUCUGCUGGAAGACUAUUUAGUAUCCUGAUGCUCUCCCAAGCUACAGGGGCCACAUCCAGUAAUCCUCAAUUUGUUUUCAAUGUGCAGAGCCAUUUCGAAAUUUGCUUCAUAGAUAUUGCCUGCCUAAAACCACAAUGAGAAGCCUCUCCAACGGAGGACAGAUAGAUAAGGAUGUCUUGUUCCAGGGAUAAAUUAAAUGCUGAAUCUCUUCAUUUCUUAGAGGUUAUGUAACGUGAGGAGGCUCUUUCAGGCUACUGUUUAGACUGCAGAUCUGCCUUCUGCCUCUUGGACCAAUUGAAUAGUGUCUGUGUGAUUGUGUGUAUGUGCUUGUUUGUGAGGAGCUGAGUAUGGAUGGAUGGAUAGAUGGAUAGAUUUACUGGUGGGGGGCAUUGCAGCACCCCACUUACCUGCUUCUAACUUCUGUCCCGCUGCUCAAGAUUGAUUGAAAGCUGCUCAGCACUUCAUUCUUUCCAUUUUUCUUUGGCUCUCUCCCUCGCUCUUUCCUUCCGCCCAACCCUCUUCCCUUUUCUCGCUCUUCUUUUCUGUCUCAGCCCUGUGCCGAUCUGUCAGCACCAGUAAAGCAGAGGAGAAGCCGAUCAUGGGGUGUUAUGGGUUGCAUAACCACAUUGCUGACUUGCUGUUCAAAUUUCAUUUCCUUUGAAAACUCUCCACCAUUAUUAGCUGAAUGUAAUCAGUACAAGCUAGAUUAGCUUGCUAUCCACACCGGCUGCUCCAUAAAUGGCUGUGCCUUCAUGCGCUCUCAAAAGUGCUCUGUCACUCUUUGUUAUUUUGUUUUCUGUACUCUUUGAGGACAGAGAAGAAAACCCACCCAAGGUUUGUUCUUUGUUGUAUCACACAGCACUAUGCGAAUCACUCUGCAAAAUUCGAUUGGCACCCUUUCCAUCCUUCAAGGCAGAAACCCAACUAAGAUUAUGAUUUCUUUGCUUUGUCUUUUGGCUACAAACACACAAAAACAUUAUUGUCAGGUGGUCAGUGCAGUGGCAGAACCUGACACAGGGGAUAUAGGGAUUUCUCUGGAUUCCUUGGAUUUGUUAACGCCAUGACACCAAGUGCUUUACUUGCACUUUUAUGUAUUAUUAAAUUUAAUAAUGUUGUGUCCAAAAUCCUUAAACAAAAAACCAAAACUACCAGUUGUAAUCCUCCAAGAGAUUUCAAGCUACAUCCACCAAACUGUGCACAGACCUUCAGACUGUUCUGACUUGAGCCUGAUUUUUACAUGGAAUAAGCCGAAGUUCUUUCUAAUGGACGAACUAAAGCACCCUAGGCAAAUGAAGCCACUGUUUAUGCAAUGCGCAACGUCGUUUUAAAAUGAGUUUGUUUAGGGUGAUGUCACUGUGUUUAACGUACUGUUCCAGCCACAGGUAAAGCCAAUAAUGCAGGUUUUUCUCUCUGUGGACUGCCACAUUUGGCACUGUUGCUCCUUUGCUUUAUUAAACUUGUCACGGCCCCUUCCACUUUUAAAAACUCCAAUCUCUCUCUACUCAUUUGUCGUGGCCGUGCUGUCUUUGUGGAGUUUGUGUUGCAAAUCAUGUAAAAAACUAUACUUCUGCACAAUCUUUGAGAGACGGGCUUCAAAGUUAUCCAUUUUAACGACUGUAACCUUGCUAACAACAACUCAGCUGGCAUGCGUGAUUGUAAAUAAAAAACGUCACAUCCAAACCACACCCACAAUUAGUUUUAACCAAUCAUCAAUGCUCUUCGACCAGCCGAGUUCUCCUAGGUCAAGAAUUUCGAGAUGUGUGCAAACACGAGAAAUAUCAACAAACAAACACAUUGGCAGAACAAAAACGUCACUGCAUUUCUUCAUCAUCUGUAGGCGAACCAAGCAAAGCCUGUUCACACAGUAAGUAUAAAUUAGCCUUUAGUGUGCUGUUUUUUCUAACUGUUCAGACAAACUUCGCUUUAGCGGACAAUUGAAAAUCCCCAAAAUCCCAUAGACUUGCAUUAAUGGAAUGUUUAAACACAGGCCAAGACUAUCAUCUAAUGUUUGUGAUUUCAAACUCCAGCCAUCAAAACUCUCACACGUACAGCCAUUUGUCCGUCUAUCCAACAACACUACCAACUAGCGAGAAGACCAUAGUAACACUUAGCAAUAACACCUGUAUUCAACACCUGAAAGGCCUGUAUUCAAACUUUUUAAUCUAGUUCAGACUUUCAGACAAGACUUUGUCAAGCUAACAGUUUUGACAAACUUUACUUUCUUUAUCUAGUUGUGUAUUUAUAGUUCUGUUAAAUUAAGGGGGACCCCAAGUGAGCAAGGACUGCCACUGGGUCAAUGGCUCCCCCAAGGUCAUGAGUGGCAUAGUUAUCAGGAUAGCCAGCAUAUAAGCCAAGGCUGGAGUUUUCUUAUGAUGAGCCGCAGCUGUGUGUGUAUAGAGGCUGACCCUCAAAUGCAGCUGAUGUCUAUACAGCCCUCCCUCAGGACUCGCACACCGUCUCUGACAUAUACAGUCUCUGGGGCUUUCCGCUCUGCACUCAACAUGGUCAUAUUUGAGUUUGUUAGUCUUGAAUUAAAAGUGAUGUCAGUGUGUCUCUGUGCCGCCUGUGAGAAUGAAAGAAAAUAAUUUGUUGCAAUGAGCUUGUUUCAUUGUUUAUUUACUUACAGCAGGGACUCUGACAUGUAAGAGCAUUUAGUGAUUAUCAGUGCAAAAAGAACAUCUGUGAGCUGUUGUUUCCACUGCUUCGUUUAAGCAUGUCUGUGCCUGGUGGAAGCUGUUUUUCAAAGGGACACCCCAGCAUCCAGCGAGAGUGGAACCAAAACUGCCCGAUCUAAAGCCUCUAGCAGGUUCCCCAGGCCGGGUCACAGCUUGGGUCGGGAAGCCCGCAACCCUGAACCACAAAGUGGUGACCUUUA